CGGAUUUAUUGGGCGUAAAGCGAGCGCAGGCGGUUUUUUAGGUCUGAUGUGAAAGCCUUCGGCUUAACCGGAGAAGUGCAUCGGAAACCGGGAGACUUGAGUGCAGAAGAGGACAGUGGAACUCCAUGUGUAGCGGUGAGAUGCGUAGAUAUAUGGAAGAACACCAGUGGCGAAGGCGGCUGUCUGGUCUGCAACUGACGCUGAGGCUCGAAAGCAUGGGUAGCGAACAGGAUUAGAUACCCUGGUAGUCCAUGCCGUAAACGAUGAGUGCUAAGUGUUGGAGGGUUUCCGCCCUUCAGUGCUGCAGCUAACGCAUUAAGCACUCCGCCUGGGGAGUACGACCGCAAGGUUGAAACUCAAAGGAAUUGACGGGGGCCCGCACAAGCGGUGGAGCAUGUGGUUUAAUUCGAUGCUACGCGAAGAACCUUACCAGGUCUUGACAUCUUCUGCUAACCUAAGAGAUUAGGCGUUCCCUUCGGGGACGGAAUGACAGGUGGUGCAUGGUUGUCGUCAGCUCGUGUCGUGAGAUGUUGGGUUAAGUCCCGCAACGAGCGCAACCCUUAUUGUCAGUUGCCAGCAUUCAGUUGGGCACUCUGGCGAGACUGCCGGUGACAAACCGGGGGAAGGUGGGGAUGACGUCAAAUCAUCAUGCCCCUUAUGACCUGGGCUACACAUGUGCUACAAUGGACGGUACAAGGAGUCGCGAAACCGCGAGGUCAAGCUAAUCUCUGAAAGCCGUUCUCAGUUCGGAUUGCAGGCUGCAACUCGCCUGCAUGAAGUUGGAAUCGCUAGUAAUCGUGGAUCAGCAUGCCACGGUGAAUACGUUCCCGGGCCUUGUACACACCGCCCGUCACACCAUGAGAGUUUGUAACACCCAAAGCCGGUGAGGUAACCUUCGGGGGCCAGCCGUCUAAGGUGGGACAGAUGAUUAGGGUGAAGUCGUAACAAGGUAGCCGUAGGAGAACCUGCGGCUGGAUCACCUCCUUUCUAA
rnacentral:rRNA from 1 species